AUACGUAGGGGGCAAGCGUUAUCCGGAUUUACUGGGUGUAAAGGGAGCGUAGACGGUAGGGUAAGUCAGAUGUGAAAGCCCGGGGCUCAACCCCGGGAUUGCAUUUGAAACUAUCCGACUAGAGUGCAGGAGAGGUAAGUGGAAUUCAUAGUGUAGCGGUGAAAUGCGUAGAUAUUAGGAGGAACACCAGUGGCGAAGGCGGCUUACUGGACUGUAACUGACGUUGAGGCUCGAAUGCGUGGGGAGCAAACGGAAUUAUAUACCCUGGGAGUCCACUCCGUAAACGAUGAAUACUAGGUGUUGGGGAGCAUAAGCUCUUCGGUGCCGUCGCAAACGCAUUAAGUAUUCCACCUGGGGAGUACGUUCGCAAGAAUGAAACUCAAAUGAAUUGACGGGU
rnacentral:rRNA from 1 species